rnacentral:rRNA from 1 species
UUUCCUACGGGGGGCAGCAGUGAGGAAUAUUGGUCAAUGGGAGAGAUCCUGAACCAGCCAAGCCGCGUGAGGGAAGACGGCCCUAUGGGUUGUAAACCUCUUUUGUCGGAGAACAAAACCCGGGACGUGUCCCGGACUGCGUGUAUCCGAAGAAAAAGCAUCGGCUAACUCCGUGCCAGCAGCCGCGGUAAUACGGAGGAUGCGAGCGUUAUCCGGAUUUAUUGGGUUUAAAGGGUGCGUAGGCGGACGAUUAAGUCAGCGGUAAAAUUGAGAGGCUCAACCUCUUCGAGCCGUUGAAACUGGCU